CCUACGGGUGGCAGCAGUAGGGAAUCUUCCACAAUGGGCGAAAGCCUGAUGGAGCAACGCCGCGUGGGUGAAGAAGGUCUUCGGAUCGUAAAACCCUGUUGUUAGAGAAGAAAGUGCGUGAGAGUAACUGUUCACGUUUCGACGGUAUCUAAACAGAAAGCCCCGGCUAACUACGUGCCAGCAGCCGCGGUAAUACGGAGGUGGCAAGCGUUAUCCGGAUUUAUUGGGAGUAAAGGGCACGCAGGCGGUCUUUUAAGUAUUAUGUUAAAGCCUUCGGCUUAACCGGAGUAGUGCAUUGGAAACUGGGAGACUUGAGUGCCGAAGAGGAGAGUGGAACGCCAUGUGUAGCGGUGAAAUGCGUAGAUAUAUGGAAGAACCCCAGUGGCGAAAGCGGCUCUCUGGUCUGUAACUGACGCUGAGGUUCGAAAGCGUGGGUAUCAAACAGGAUUAGAUACCCGAGUAGUC
rnacentral:rRNA from 1 species